rnacentral:rRNA from 1 species
CCUUCACUACAACUUAACAUUGAUUUUGAAUGCCAGAUGUGUAGGAUAGUUGGGAGACUAUGAAGCAGCUUCGCCAGGAGUUGUGGAGUCAUCGUUGAAAUACCAACCUUCUGUUAUUUAGAGUCUAAUCCGGCAACGGAGACAUUGUUUGGUGGGUAGUUUGACUGGGGUGGUCGCCUCCUAAAAGGUAACGGAGGCUCGCAAAGGUACCCUCAGUACGGUUGGUAAUCGUACGCAGAGCGCAUUAGUAUAAGGGUGCUUGACUGUGAGGCAAACAAGCCGAGCAGGUGCGAAAGCAGGCUAAAGUGAUCCGGCGGUUCUGUAUGGAAGGGCCGUCGCUCAAAGGAUNNNNNNNNNNGGGUUCGGCUGUUCGCCGAUUAAAGUGGCACGUGAACUGGGUUCAGAACGUCGCAAGACAGUUCGGUCCCUAUCUGUUGUGAUCGUUAGUAAAUUGAGAGGACAUGACCUUAGUACGAGAGGACCGGGUCGUACGUACCGCUGGUGUAUCUGUUGUGCCGCCAGGUGCAGUGCAGAGUAGCUAAGUACGGAUAGGAUAAACGCUGAAAGCAUCUAAGCGUGAAACCUGCCUCAAGAUGAGUUUACUUUUAAGGGCCGUAGUAGACGACUACGUUGAUAGGCUACAGGUGUAAAGCUAGCAAUAGCAAAGCCGAGUAGUACUAAUUGCUCGUACGCUUUAAUUUU